UUUGAUCCUGGCUCAGAUUGAACGCUGGCGGCAGGCCUAACACAUGCAAGUCGAACGGUAACAUUUCUAGCUUGCUAGAAGAUGACGAGUGGCGGACGGGUGAGUAAUGCUUGGGAACUUGCCUUUGCGAGGGGGAUAACAGUUGGAAACGACUGCUAAUACCGCAUAAUGUUUUCGGACCAAACGGGGCUUCGGCUCCGGCGCAAAGAGAGGCCCAAGUGAGAUUAGCUAGUUGGUAAGGUAACGGCUUACCAAGGCGACGAUCUCUAGCUGUUCUGAGAGGAAGAUCAGCCACACUGGGACUGAGACACGGCCCAGACUCCUACGGGAGGCAGCAGUGGGGAAUAUUGCACAAUGGGGGAAACCCUGAUGCAGCCAUGCCGCGUGUGUGAAGAAGGCCUUCGGGUUGUAAAGCACUUUCAGUUGUGAGGAAAAGUUAGUAGUUAAUACC
rnacentral:rRNA from 1 species